UGGCACUUCCGCCUGCUCGGAUUGAUUGUCUGCUUCUGUUGUGUCUGAAUUUCGAUCUCAUCUUCUUCGUAUCGAGCUCUUGAUUCAGCUUAUUCUUCGCUGCUCUGUCCCGCUCGUGUUCCAGUGGCUUCUCCUUAGCAUCGCAAUUGUUUGAGGAGCUAGAACAGUAGCAGGAAAAUCGGGAGGUGAGGCGUAUUUCCUAGAUCACUUCAGGCGUAUGCUCACCUGAUCCAAGGAAGAGAUGGGCGUCGUGCUGUUGAUGUAACGAUUCAACCAAACAACACACAGAACAUCCUUUUGAGAACAUUAAGGAAAGAACAGAGCUAGUCGAUGCUCUACACAAGAACCGAACUCUGUCUAAUCUCCCUAAGAUCACCCAGCACAGUUGAAGCAGGUCCACGAGCUGAAGCAGGUCGAUGCCGCUGCAAGGUCGUACACUAUGGGGACUCCGCCUCCCCAGCCACCUCCGCCCCCCAAGGAGUCCUUCGCCCGGCUCUAUAAGUUCCUUUGGCCUCUUCUACUGACCGUCAAUCUCGCUUUUGGAGCUGCGUUUCUGUUUAGAUGGGUUAAUUGGACUUUGGACAGACUCGGGAGAGGCUAAUAGAAAGGAUUGAUUAUAUAACCUGUCUCCAGGGGCAUCUGCAGAUGUUUAAUCGUUUCCAUGACAUUAUCUCUGGCCAUCAUUUCGAACCCUCAACAUUUCCAUUUCCCCAAUUCAUUCAACUUGAGCUUCCAAUUCCAGUCUUCCAGAUCCCAAAUUUCCGUUCCGCCUCCACCUAAGUCACGAAGCCUCCACAGUCCUGAAUCCUUCCGUCAUUCUGCUCGACCUCGACCCCGGCUCGGCCCGGCAACCUCGGCCCCGCAACCGCGACCCUGCGACCCUUGACUCAAGCCCUCUCUCCGACCUCAGACAAAGCGACGUCACCUCGAUCCUCGACCUCAGACGAAGUCGACCUCGACCCCGGCUCGGCCCCGCAACCUCGACCCCGGCUCGGCCCCACAACCCCGACCCAACUUCGAGCUUCCAAUUCCAGUCUUCCAGAUCCCAAAUUUCCGUUCCGCCUCCACCUAAGUCACGAAGCCUCCACAGUCUUGAAUCCUUCCGUCAUUCUGCUCGACCUCGACCCCGGCUCGGCCCGGCAACCUCGGCCCCGCAACCGCGACCCCGCGACCCUCGACUCAAGCCCUCUCUCCAACCUCAGACAAAGCGACGUCACCUCGAUCCUCGACCUCAGACGAAGUCGACCUCGACCCCGGCUGGGCCCCGCAACCUCGACCCCGGCUCGGCCCCGCAACCCCGACCCCGGCUCGGCCCCGCAACCCCGACCCCGGCUCGACCCCGCGACCUUGGCCCUAUGAGUGGGUGUCCUCAUGCGUUGGUUUCCCUUUCGAUUUGAGAAAUGUUUGUUGUCUACAUCCGUCCUUAUUGGAGCAAGAUCAAACCAUGCUGAGUAACUAGCACUUGGAAUUCCCAUUUAUUGGCUUUGCUCUUUUCUUCUUGCUGCUUUCGAUAGAUUGCUUUUACUUUAGAAAUUUAAUUUCUUGCCUUCUUUUUUGUCACGUUCUCUAGUUAUCAUUUUCCUUGAUACCAAUAGGACAAUUGAGCAUCUCUACUAAUUUAAAAUUCCGAUUUAGGUAU